UACGAAGGGUGCAAGCGUUACUCGGAAUUACUGGGCGUAAAGCGUGCGCAGGCGGUUCGUCAAGUCUUGUGUGAAAGCCCCGGGCUCAACCUGGGAAUGGCAUGGGAAACUGGCGAGCUGGAGUGCGGCAGAGGGGGGUGGAAUUCCGCGUGUAGCAGUGAAAUGCGUAGAGAUGCGGAGGAGCACCGAUGGCGAAGGCAGCCCCCUGGGUCGACACUGACGCUCAGGCACGAAAGCGUGGGGAGCAAACAGG
rnacentral:rRNA from 1 species